rnacentral:hammerhead_ribozyme from 1 species
GCACUACUGAGGAGUCCCACAAUAGGACGAAAUAGUCGUCUAGUGC